rnacentral:rRNA from 1 species
UACGGGAGGCAGCAGUAGGGAAUAUUGCACAAUGGGCGGAAGCCUGAUGCAGCGACGCCGCGUGAAGGAAGAAGUAUUUCGGUAUGUAAACUUCUAUCAGCGGGGAAGAAGAUGACGGUACCCGACUAAGAAGCCCCGGCUAACUACGUGCCAGCAGCCGCGGUAAU